UUAACACAUGCAAGUCGAGGGGAAACGGCAUUGAGUGCUUGCACUCUUUGGACGUCGACCGGCGCACGGGUGAGUAACGCGUAUCCAACCUUCCCAUUACUGUGGGAUAACCUGCCGAAAGGCAGACUAAUACCGCAUAGUCUUCGAUGACGGCAUCAGAUUUGAAGUAAAGAUUUAUCGGUAAUGGAUGGGGAUGCGUCUGAUUAGCUUGUUGGCGGGGUAACGGCCCACCAAGGCUACGAUCAGUAGGGGUUCUGUGAGGAAGGUCCCCCACAUUGGAACUGAGACACGGUCCAAACUCCUACGGGAGGCAGCAGUGAGGAAUAUUGGUCAAUGGACGGAAGUCUGAACCAGCCAAGUAGCGUGCAGGAUGACGGCCCUAUGGGUUGUAAACUGCUUUUGUAUGGGGAUAAAGUUAGGGACGUGUCCCUAUUUGCAGGUACCAUACGAAUAAGGACCGGCUAAUUCCGUGCCAGCAGCCGCGGUAAUACGGAAGGUCCAGGCGUUAUCCGGAUUUAUUGGGUUUAAAGGGAGCGUAGGCUGGAGAUUAAGUGUGUUGUGAAAUGUAGACGCUCAACGUCUGAAUUGCAGCGCAUACUGGUUUCCUUGAGUACGCACAACGUUGGCGGAAUUCGUCGUGUAGCGGUGAAAUGCUUAGAUAUGACGAAGAACUCCGAUUGCGAAGGCAGCUGACGGGAGCGCAACUGACGCUUAAGCUCGAAGGUGCGGGUAUCAAACAGGAUUAGAUACCCUGGUAGUCCGCACAGUAAACGAUGGAUGCCCGCUGUUGGUACCUGGUAUCAGCGGCUAAGCGAAAGCAUUAAGCAUCCCACCUGGGAGUACGCCGGCAACGGU
rnacentral:rRNA from 1 species